AUGCACCACCACAUCUGUC
rnacentral:misc_RNA from 1 species